ACACGUGCUUAGAAGAUGAAUUGAAGAAAAACAAAAUAUGACAGUAGCACGAAAAGAAAAGCCGGCUAAUGAGGAAAUCGAGGAUCCGGUCGAUCGUAUGCUCAAAAAAACUGGUUGCAUAGACUUGCAUUACAAAGUUGCGGAGUGCAUCGCUGAAACGCAAGAUUGGCGAAAAUGUCAGGACGUAGUAACCAAAUUUAGGGAAUGUAUGGAUGUCUAUCAACAAAAACAAGCACAAGCACACCAAAAGUAACCAAUAAUUGAAUGUAAAUAGAAUAUUAAAGACAAAGUUGUUAUGAGUUCAUUAAUAAGAGGAAUCAAAGCACUGUUCGUUAGUUCCUCAUA